CAUCAGCAUUGACCAGUCACCACAGCCUCAGAAUACGGGACAGAGUAGCUUGUCAAACUAACACAAAUCACACAACCUCAGCUCAUCAGUUGCAUAAGAACCUACUACGUGCGAAGAUAAGUAUACCUAGGUGUGUCCGUGAAACCUAAUUUUGUUACACCUUUUGCCAUUUUUUGACAAAUCACUUAAAGUUUCAUUCCUGUGGGAAAAUACAAUUUUAUUCGUCUUUUGGAGCUUUUGAUUACCCCAAUAGAGAAUUUCAACUUGUUAUCACUUUCAGAAACCAACACUCUACCAUUCGGAGGGCUCAGAGGGCUCAGUUGGCUCCGAGGGCUGGUUUCUCGCCAAGUGGCUCGUUUAAGAAGGCAAAUUUGGCGAAACUGUGAUUACAUUUCAUUUAAUCGUCAAACAAGCGGAGCUGCAAACCCUCAAAACCUUUCCCUAGUAUAAUGGAGCCAAUUCGGUCUGGCGCGAUAUUCUUGAGCCAUAUUUGUAUUUGGUGAAUACAGAGUCCAUCGUAUCGCAUACGGACUUUGCAACGAAUCCUGUGAUCCAAACCGGCAAUCCAUGCUCGUAGAUGGGCAGGAUAUAGGUUUGAAAGACGCGCAAUACCACAGCAAAUAGAAGGUCACAGAGCUUCAAGCAUGGGAAAAAGAACCCAAUCUUUCCUAUCUGGCUUUCACAUUCAAGUGCCUUCAACUUUCCUGAAGACGACCGAGCAAGUCGGGAGUCUACCCUUGUGGAAAACCAAAACCUUGGAUUUCUCACCAUUAACCUGAAGGUCGUUCAACUCACAGUAAUCCUGCAAAUCUCCCACGGCCCUUUGGAGAUCUCUGCCGAGUGUGCCACGAGACAAAGAUCAUCAGCGUAAAUCAAACAUCGCACGGUUUUCUUGCUAUAUUGAUACCUUCAAAAAGGCAAUGCAUUUUUUCUUGACAUGGGAGUCCUCAUGGUCCAACCUCCAAGUCCAAAAAAUAACCUCAAAUGGGAAUGAGAUCGUCAGUGGUAAUAAGGGAAGGAUUAACAAUUCGUUUCUAACUUCAUAUUGAUAUACUAGUGCAUUACCUAACCCACCAACAAAACGAAUUGGAAAAUCUGUCUGAUCCUCUUGAAUGUAAACUUGGUCUGGAAUGGAGGUAUGAAAUUUGCUUACAUAUAAUUGAAAGCUGCAAACCAAUCACCACUUACAGUGCGUAUUCCCUACAUAUUGAAUAAUGCAAAAGCCUAGAAUUUGAAUCAGUUUGUUCGUAUUGUAUUUUUGUACCUUUACCUACUAAAGUGUUUCCUAAAAUUCCAGUGAUACACUACAGUCCAUAUAUAAAUAACCGUGGUCUCAGGAGGCAAAUAUCCCAAAAUUAUAGUUGUCAUCCUUUCAUACAGGAGUUAUACUGAAUGAAUUUCUUGCUUUUGCAACUCGAAUUUGCUCCUUGCAUGGCGGUCACAAAUAUUGCCUUAUUUAUUUUGCCCCUAGAACAAGGGCAAGCAGUGGGAAAAACAGAGCACAGACAAUUAUUUUGAUUCUUUGAUCAUUGGACCCAUCUGUCUCUUUCGAUUCGACUGGAGCCUGGCUAUGGCACACAGGAAUUUCCGAGUCUCAUGAAGACUCGGUUUGGUUACAAAAUGAGGAAAAAAAUAAAGCCAAAACGCUACAAAAAAAAUGACAGGGCCUCUUGGACUUCAUACAGAGACUACAGUUGUAUGCUUGUUGUAAGAUUGCGAGGUGAUCCAUAACCAAAUUUAAGUACCACCAUCUAGCUUGUUAAGGGUUUGGUGUAUCCUAACAAUUUUCGUUUGAAAACAAUCAAAUCCCUUACACUUUUAAGAAUCAACUUCAAAAGACAAAGUGCUACUCACAGGCAGAUAUGCUUAGUGCCUAAAAUUAGUGUCCCUGGAGCGAGGUAGGGUCCUUGGAGUACCACUUAAAAUAAGAAGCUACAAAUAGUUAAAAAUACAUCAAAAUUCAUUGCUUUUCGCGAAUGAUAUUUUUCCAGAUCCUAUGCAGUUAGGAUCAUCCUAAAGCAGUUAGAAGCUGAGAAACGUACUAAGGAUGUCUACUUGCUGACCGAAAAGUAGCCUCGGAACUGGCUUUCAAAUCUAAGAUGCAUUACACCACACGCACGGUUGUUUUGAAAGCCGUUUUCAGCUUUGAUGACAUAAAAUCGUAAUGAUGUUAUUCAACUUUUGGAUCAAGUGAAACAUGUAGGCUUAUAAAACUAACUGUUCAGAAAUAUAACACGAUGUACUCGAAACAAAUGUUAUGGGGGAUUGACAGGCAACAGAGGUGAUUUGGAAAACUACUGUAUGAGUAAGGUAAUCACAUCUCGUGAGUUGGUAAGAGGGUUGUUAACACAACUUUGGUUUUCACAAUUUUCUUUUUUCUGGGACAUAUCUGGAUCCACAUUCCAGCUCAGACGUAGAUGUCCCAUGAGACCCUUGGAGUGAAUGCGAUUAGAGCUGGAGUUGCUUUUGAAACUCCAGACUGUGAUUUGAAAACUCCAAGAUUGAAGGUAAGUGGCAAAUCUGAAGAAGCGCGUCAAUCAGCUUCUUCUCUUGGUCUGUAACUGGUGUCUGAUAAUUAGAUAGAUUUGAUCGACUGAGAACCGAGUUUUGCUGACUAUCCGAAUCAGGCAGUGCUUUAAAGUUGGCGUCUUCGUUUAUCGCGAUUCCGCAAAAGUCGAUAACGUCUUUGAAAACAAUUUCUGGAGUGUCUUUCAGCUCCUGGAAGCUGAUGACUUUGAAGUCAAUUCCCAACUCUUUAGCCUGAUGUUUGAUACUCAGAAGAUUGGCCACGUAAAGGCCUAUGAGAAGGACCGUUUUCUGCUUGCUCGAAUACGCGUUCAGUGCACCCUUCAUCAAUUGGAGAUGCUCAUUAGUGUCCGAUCGAUUGGCGAAUGGAAAUUGACUCAAGAUAAACUCAUCUUGCUCCAUUUUUAUAGAGAGCUUCAUCAUCAAGAUGUCGACCAGCGGAUGCAAUAGGGCUCUGUAAACAGCCUUCAGUGACUUGUAAUAUUCGAUGGGAUGACGAUAUAGAUAGAGAUGCUUCAUUGAGGGAAAAGCCUGCGCGAGC